ACUGUCCUACGGGGCGCAGCAGUGGGGAAUUUUGGACAAUGGGCGCAAGCCUGAUCCAGCUAUUCCGCGUGUGGGAUGACGGCCCUCGGGUUGUAAACCACUUUAGUAGAGAACGAAAAGGAGCUAUCGAAUAAAUAGCUCUGCUGACGGUACUCUAAGAAUAAGCACCGGCUAACUACGUGCCAGCAGCCGCGGUAAUACAGAGGUCUCAAGCGUUGUUCGGAAUCCCUCGGCGUAAAGCGUGCGUAGGCUGUUUCGUAAGUCGUGUGUGAAAGGCGCGGGCUCAACCCGCGGACCGCACAUGG
rnacentral:rRNA from 1 species